rnacentral:rRNA from 2 species
UUGACCUCGGAUCAGGUAGGGAUACCCGCUGAACUUAAGCAUAUCAAUAAGCGGAGGAAAAGAAACCAACAGGGAUUGCCCCAGUAA